rnacentral:piRNA from 1 species
UCCUAUCUAUGUUUAAGAGGCACGUCACCU